rnacentral:rRNA from 1 species
ACGCUGGCGGCAGGCUUAACACAUGCAAGUCGAACGGUAACAGGAGAAAGCUUGCUUUCUUGCUGACGAGUGGCGGACGGGUGAGUAAUGCUUGGGAAUCUGGCUUAUGGAGGGGGAUAACGACGGGAAACUGUCGCUAAUACCGCGUAGUGUCGAGAGACGAAAGUGCGGGACUGAGAGGCCGCAUGCCAUAGGAUGAGCCCAAGUGGGAUUAGGUAGUUGGUGGGGUAAAGGCCUACCAAGCCUGCGAUCUCUAGCUGGUCUGAGAGGAUGACCAGCCACACUGGAACUGAGACACGGUCCAGACUCCUACGGGAGGCAGCAGUGGGGAAUAUUGCGCAAUGGGGGGAACCCUGACGCAGCCAUGCCGCGUGAAUGAAGAAGGCCUUCGGGUUGUAAAGUUCUUUCGGUAUUGAGGAAGGUUGAUGUGUUGAUAGCACAUCAAAUUGACGUUAAAUACAGAAGAAGCACCGGCUAACUCCGUGCCAGCAGCCGCGGUAAUACGGAGGGUGCGAGCGUUAAUCGGAAUAACUGGGCGUAAAGGGCACGCAGGCGGUUAUUUAAGUGAGGUGUGAAAGCCCUGGGCUUAACCUAGGAAUUGCAUUUCAGACUGGGUAACUAGAGUACUUUAGGGAGGGGUAGAAUUCCACGUGUAGCGGUGAAAUGCGUAGAGAUGUGGAGGAAUACCGAAGGCGAAGGCAGCCCCUUGGGAAUGUACUGACGCUCAUGUGCGAAAGCGUGGGGAGCAAACAGGAUUAGAUACCCUGGUAGUCCACGCUGUAAACGCUGUCGAUUUGGGGGUUGGGGUUUAACUUUGGCGCCCGUAGCUAACGUGAUAAAUCGACCGCCUGGGGAGUACGGCCGCAAGGUUAAAACUCAAAUGAAUUGGACGGGGGCCCGCACAA